ensembl:lncRNA
AGUGAAAAUAACAUAUUAACUUAGCAGUAAUACUCUGUGUCUGUUCCUUCCAUCAGUUUCUACUGGAAGUAAGCAUCUCACUAGGAAUCAAAAGAUUUUAAGUGUUGUACUUAUUAGUAUUGGGAAUGCAUUGUUCAGUGAUAAUUCUUUCAUCUUCUGUUUGUCACAGAUAUUUCCAUUUCUAGGAAUCUUUUUUUUUUCCCCUUUAGUAUGCACUGCAGUGCAUGAUGCUGAUGCCUGUUGUAUGAUGUACUGUUUAUUGCAGGCCGCAGCUGUUAAAAAAAUGGUACUAUAUCCUCCCUGGAUGACAGUGAAUCAUAUAAAAUGAACCCUAAGGAAACUGUAUGAAAGAGAAAAUGAAGAACGUAAGUAGUGGAAGACAAAUCACAUGGAGUAAUACAGUUACUGUAGACUUCUCAUAUCUUCUCCUUUUAGCCUCCAAACAUAACACUGAAAUUGCUGUACAAGAA